UACGUAGGUGGCGAGCGUUGUUCGGAUUCAUUGGGCGUAAAGGGUCCGCAGGGGGUAGAUUAAGUCUGAUGUGAAAUCCCUGAGCUUAACUCAGGAACUGCAUUGGAGACUGGUUUACUAGAGUAUCGGAGAGGAGAUUGGAAUUCCAGGUGUAGCAGUGGAAUGCGUAGAUAUCUGGAAGAACACCGAAAGCGAAGGCAGAUCUCUGGACGAUUACUGACCCUCAGGGACGAAAGCGUGGGGAGCAAACAGG
rnacentral:rRNA from 1 species